AAGUAUUACAGCUCUUUUAGAAUUUGUCUGGCAGGUUUUCUGCUUUUUAUUGGAAAACCCCC
rnacentral:snRNA from 1 species